CCUACGGGAGGCAGCAGUGAGGAAUAUUGGUCAAUGGGCGAGAGCCUGAACCAGCCAAGUCGCGUGAGGGAGUACUGCCCUAUGGGUUGUAAACCUCUUUUGUCGGGGAGCAAAAGCCGGACGUGUCCGGCUGUGAGAGUACCCGAAGAAAAAGCAUCGGCUAACUCCGUGCCAGCAGCCGCGGUAAUACGGAGGAUGCGAGCGUUAUCCGGAUUUAUUGGGUUUAAAGGGUGCGCAGGCGGAUUUUUAAGUCAGCGGUCAAAUGGUGGGGCUCAACCCCAUCCAGCCGUUGAAACUGGGGAUCUAGAGUGGGCGAUGGGUCUGCGGAUGGCGGGGUGUAGCGGUGAAAGGCAUAG
rnacentral:rRNA from 1 species